rnacentral:rRNA from 1 species
GACGAACGCUGGCGGCGUGCCUAAUACAUGCAAGUCGAACGAACCGCGACUGAGUGCUUGCACUUGGUCAAGGUGAGUGGCGAACGGGUGAGUAACACGUGGGUAACCUACCUCAUAGUGGGGGAUAACAGUCGGAAACGACUGCUAAUACCGCAUAGGACAUGGGAUCACAUGAUUCUGUGAGGAAAGGUGGCGCAAGCUAUCGCUAAGAGAUGGACCCGCGGUGCAUUAGCUAGUUGGUAGGGUAACGGCCUACCAAGGCGAUGAUGCAUAGCCGACCUGAGAGGGUGAUCGGCCACAUUGGGACUGAGACACGGCCCAAACUCCUACGGGAGGCAGCAGUAGGGAAUCUUCCGCAAUGGACGCAAGUCUGACGGAGUAACGCCGCGUGAGUGAAGAAGGUCUUCGGAUCGUAAAGCUCUGUUGUUAGAGAAGAACAGCGCAUAGAGUAAACUG